rnacentral:rRNA from 1 species
AGGACGAACGCUGGCGGCGUGCUUAACACAUGCAAGUCGACGGAGUAUUGAAGAAGCUUGCUUAGAGAUACUUAGUGGCGGACGGGUGAGUAACGCGUGAGGAGCUGUCCUAUGCAGGGGGACAACAGCUGGAAACGGCUGCUAAUACCCCAUAAGCCGAGAGGUAAAAGGAUCAAUCCGGCAGAGGAGGUACUCGCGUCCUAUCAGCUAGUAGGUGAGGUAACGGCUCACCUAGGCGAAGACGGGUAGCCGGCCUGAGAGGGCGAACGGCCACACUGGAACUGAGAUACGGUCCAGACUCCUACGGGAGGCAGCAGUGGGGAAUAUUGGGCAAUGGGGGAAACCCUGACCCAGCGACGCCGCGUGGGUGAAGAAAUCCUUCGGGAUGUAAAGCCCUGUUGUAUGGGAAGAGCGGAAGACGGUACCAUACGAGGAAGCCCCGGCAAACUACGUGCCAGCCGCUGC